UAGAACAGAAGCUAGAUGAAAAGAUCAGCUGGGGCCCAGAACGCACAUAUUUUUCCUGUAGAUCCAGCCAAAUGUGAGACCAGGGACUGGGUGUAAUUCAUCAGAGCUAAGCAACACUCUGCAGGCAGGUUGUAUGGCGCCCACCUACCUUUGUAACACUGUCUGACUUCAACUGCAAACACAGCCAACCAACUCAUCAGAGAAGGACUGGAGGGAAAGCCAAGGCUGGCAGCAGGCUUGGAACCUCUCAGGGCUAGAAGCCACCUACACACAUCAUGGUGCAGAGGAAUAGCCAGAGUGCCCUGGAGGUAAUUCCUUCUAGAAACCACCCCACCCACCUCCAGCAAGGAGCUGCUGCCGUGAGGAUGACAUGGAAGGGGGAGGCCCAGAAUGUGGAGGGCUUGGGCUGUACCUUAUUCUUCUCUGGUCCCCAGGGCCCACAGCUGUCAGGUUAAUAGUGCACAGAAUGGAAUGAAGUGAUUCAAGCCCCAGCUCCCUGGGAAGUUCCUGAGCGAUCUUGGUGAGUUACUUCCCUUGGAGUCUGCUGUACGACAAACCACUCCAAACUUCGUGGCAUAAAACAAAAAUGAGCGUUUAUUAUCUUUCAUUGUUUGGGGGUUGACAGGGGCCCAGCUAGCAGUUUUUGGUCCCUCUGCAAGUACAGUCACACAGUCACUGGGCUAGAAGGGCUUUUUAUUCAUAUAAUGGGUGCCUGGUCUGGGGAGUCCCAAACAGCUGGAGGCUGGAACAUCUGGGGCUCGUCAGGCACCUCUCCCUACAUAGUGUGGUCCCUACAUGUGGACUCUUCAGUAUGGUGCUUCAGGGCAGCUGGGCUUCUUGCACGAAGGCCCAGUCUCCAAUGGUGCUUGUCCCAGGAGACAGGCAAGUGCAAUUCAAUUGCCAUUUGUCACCCAGCCUCACAGUCCAGCACAUUGUUUUCUUGGAGGCAGUGAAAGUUCUGCCCAUGUUCCAGGGGAGAGGAUAUAGAUUCUGCUUCCUGGUGGGAAGAGUGUCAAAGGAUUUACAGAUACGCUUUGAAACCUCCACAGAGCCUCAGUUUCUCCAUAUGUUAAAUGGGGAUAAUAAUACUUCUUGGGCUAGAUCUUUUUGAGGGGAUGGGAGGAUAAAUGGGGCUAAUGCAGAUGAACUCAGGUGGUGAAAGUGAAGGUGCUGUGCAAACAUCAGAGAUGGACAAUUACAAAAAGCUGUCUGGUGUUACUAAUUCUCAAAUUGGACCAUAUUAUAAUAUUGCAGAGGCUGAAAAGUAAACACAGUUUCUCACUGACAUUCUCCUCUUCAAUAAAUACAUCACCUGAGCAAUAAGAAUAUAAUUUUCCCCAUAGGAUCAAUAAUAAAGCCAUUUUGAAGGAAAGAGAAAUAUAGCCUGGAAGUAUUUUUGCUUUCUCAUGAAUUUGUCUUUAAUCAAAAUAAGGUUUCCCACCACUGCUAUAUAUCGUUACCCCCGCUGCCAAACCCAAUGUCUUGCAAAUUUUGCUGCGGAUGAAUGUUUAUAGUGGAAAGAAUUUAAAAACAAAUAUGAGUUGUCAUUGGCCUAUUUAUCAUUAAAUAUAAUUGCCAUUUUUACUCUGUGUGUAGAAAUAAGUAAAAAUUUGUCCUGUGCCCAUGUCACUUGUCAUACUACUAAUAAUUAUACUCAUUUAUUAGUUAGAACUCUUGGUUGUAAACAUUUUGAAAAAACACAACAACAAUGUGAGCAGGCUUAACACAAAAGAGAACUGCAGCGUGCCUCAAGCCAGGAGUCCUGGAACAUGGCUAGACCUCAGGAAGGGUCUGCAACCAACAACUGGUGGGAAGCAGGAUUCUCCAGGAUUUAUUCACUCAUCCAUUUUCUCUCUCUCAAUCUCUCUCUCUCUCCUUCUCUCUUUCUCUCCCACCUCUGCUUCUCACCGUGUCUGCUGCAUUCCACCCUUUCUGCAGACUAAUUAUUUCUCCUUCUCAGCUUACUUGACAAGCAGAAGGUGGCUGCUCCAUCAUUUUCUAUUUUGAGUCUUUCAUGCAGCACACUUGCCCAAACUAAGUUAAACCUCUUAGUUAUAGGCUCAAAUUCUUGGGAGGGAUGAUACGCUUGGCCCUGCAUGGAUCAACACCCUCUCAUCUAGGGUGAACGAUCAAGUCACAUAGUAUAGCAGUAGGCUCUGGAUGCAGGGAAAGUCACAUGACACAGCCAGAGGCUCCUGGGUGUAGGAGGGGAAAAGGGAGAAAGACGGAGGAGAGGACUGGUGGGGAGGAGCUAAGUGAUUUUUUUUUAAAUGGAAGGACACUCUAAAGGUUAGCUGCUACAACUUACUUACUCAUCUUCUCCUGCUUUAAUAGAAUUAAAGGCAGGAUUUUGUUUCAUUCAACUGUAUUGUCAAUAUCAAGCACACUGCUCAACAUAGUAAGUACUCAAUGCAUGCUGGUAUAUGAAUGAAAUUUCUUUUUAAAGAUCUUUUUUUUUGGAGGGGAAGAUUCACCCUAUGCUAACAUCUGUUGCCAAUCUUCCUCCUUUUUUCUUCCUCCUCAUCCCCAAAGCCCCAGUACGUAGUUGUGUAUAGAUGUAAGUUCUAGUGGUUCUUCUAUGUGAGCCAUCACCACAGCAUGGCUACUGACAGACAAGUGGUGUGGUUCCACACCCAGGAACUGAACCUCGGCUGCCGAAGUGGAGCACACUAAACUUUAGCCACUAGGCCAUCAGGGCUGGCUUGAAUGAAAGUUUUUACAUCACAUUUCUUAAAUAACAAAACCACCCAGAGCUUUGGUCAUGGACACAGAUCUUGUGAUACAGUCAUGUGCUGCACAAUGACGUUUUGGUCAAUGAUGGACCGCAUCUAUAACACUGGUCUCAUAAGAUUAGUACCAUACAGCCUAGGUGUGUAGUAGGCUAUACCAGCUAGGUUUGUGUAAGUAUGCUCUAUGCUGUUCGCACAAUGACGAGAUCACCUAAUGAUGCAUUUCUCAAGACAUAUCCCCAUCGUUAAGUGAUGCACCACUAUAAUUACUACAUUAAAUGGGGCUGCCUCUUUUAAAUUUAUCUUGAUAAUCUGAAACGUAAUCAAAAGGCAUAUGUCGAUAUUUAAAAGCAAACUUCUCCAAUAUAGUUUCUUCUCUUUAACGAAAUAUCACAAAAUGCAUUUUAAGUGGAAUUCUUAUUACUUGUAACGAAUGGCUCAAAGAGCACAUAAUUAGAUCAAGGGAAGUCUGAGGACAUAACUUUUGGAUAUAUAGAGAUGUCUUAGGCUUAUAACCUAAAUAAUGCUAAAUCGACUGAAUGUAAGCAACGCAUAUUUUAGAAUCUGCAAACCAAAGAUACAUUAGGGUUCUACAGAAUCUAUUCAUUUGAAAUGAAAAAGAAAACUCUUUGGGGUGGAUUGUUGGGAGAUCGAGGGCAGGAGGAAAGCAUGCUGUGAAAAUCCAGCAGUCUCAGCUGGUCCUUCUCACGGUGAAUCAAGACGACUCACCAGGCUCCUUUUAAUCAAAGCACCACAGGGGGUUUGAGUUAGAAGGGACUUAGGGAACCAUAUAUUUCAUCUUCUCACAGUAACAUUCAGUGACUUACCAAAGUCGCCUGCUUUACCAGGAGUGCCAAGGGACCAAAAUGGCCAAGUGGUAGCUUGCAAAUGUCCUGGAAGAAGUGGCUCAUUCCUCCUCCCCAGGGCUUGUCAUUUGCUGUUUCAAAGGGGAGAAUUCUCAGCUGGGAGUGAUUUCAUCUUAUGCAAUAAAUGCUGUGGCUUCUGGGACUUCUGUCCUGUAGUUUUGGCAGGCAGCAGGACGCCCUGAAGCUUAUCUCUGCUGGCUCGACUGCCACACUGUGAUGUGUUAGCUCCUCCGCUGGCUACUUUUCUUGCCCACUUUUCCAGAAAGGCACUAAUCUAAGAGACCUGACAUGAACUGCUGACAUCUAGUUUUAUGCACCUUCCAGCUACCUUUUCCGACUCAGUCACAAUAAAUCCCUCUCGGCUUAGGUCUGUUUUCCACAAUGGUGGUGUCGCACCCCGCUGGGGGGUUGCAAUGGGCUGUCAGUGGUGGUGCAAGUCAUUUGUUACUAACAAUAGAGUUCCCAAGUCUGCAAAGGACUUACUUUUCAAUAUAUAAAUUGAAGAGAAGUCAAGUUAAUCCCCGGGAUAUGCCAUACUCACUUGCCCCGAACACACUUUCUUGUGGAUGGGCUUUUUAGCCUUUAUUUUCAAGGAAGAAAUUUUUAGCUCUUAAGGAAAACCACAACUCAUGGUGUCUGUCUUUUAUGAGUGUUUAACCUCACAAGACAGCAUGGAGUCAAGGGUCAGGCAGAGUGGCCCCAUCUGGGUUCCUAUCCCAGCUCCACCUCGAACUCGCUGUCUGACCUGGAGUGAGCUACUCAGCCUCUCUGUUUUCCCCUCUGCAAAUUGGGGAUAUAAAAGUAUCUACUUUGUAGGUUGUUAUGAAGAUUAAAUAAUGUGCAUGAAAGACAUAGAACAGUGCCCAGAACCUGGUAAAGGCCAGUUUUAGAGUAGCUAUUAAUAUUUGUUAUUAUGAGGCUUUUCCUUUUCCAAGGGUUUUCCUUGAUGUUUUACCAGUAAUUUUGUCUUUGGGCAUAAAGAACAAAUGCAUCAUUACUGCGUUGAAUCAUGUCUGCUCAUAAAUACAUAGGGCGCCUCUGCCUGCAUUUCUUUUGUUUUCAAGAUACUUAAAAUUCCAUGGGCCUCUUCCUUGGCUGGCUCCAGAAGUGUGUCUUGGGCUUGGGUAGCUCCAGGAAAAACAGAAUUUGCCACAAGGAGCUUUUCUCGAAAAUAUUUCGUGACUCUCUUCACUGGCUCCUCACACCUGUGCCUUGAUUCAUUUCUCCUUCCCAACAUUUAUCACUUUCAGGCUACAAAAGAGGGACUCAAACAGAGACCAGGGCCACAGACACAGGUCUGCCUCUGAUGUGUGAGAAGGCCCUUCUGCGUGUCGAUGCUGCAUUCUUUGUUACCUCAGUGUUUUUUCCUUUUACCGUACAGACCCUGCGUAAAGAUAAAUUAAUAUAUCUUAGAAAUCUAUCAUAUAGCCAAGGAAUAAGAAUAGAGAUCAUUUCUCC
ensembl:lncRNA